rnacentral:rRNA from 1 species
GACGAACGCUGGCGGCGUGCUUAACACAUGCAAGUCGAGCGAUGAAGCUUCUUCGGAAGUGGAUUAGCGGCGGACGGGUGAGUAACACGUGGGUAACCUGCCUCAUAGAGGGGAAUAGCCUUCCGAAAGGAAGAUUAAUACCGCAUAAGAUUGUAAUAUCGCAUGAUAUAGCAAUUAAAGAAGCAAUCCGCUAUGAGAUGGACCCGCGUCGCAUUAGCUAGUUGGUGAGGUAACGGCUCACCAAGGCGACGAUGCGUAGCCGACCUGAGAGGGUGAUCGGCUACAUUGGGACUGAGACACGGCCCAAACUCCUACGGGAGGCAGCAGUGGGGAAUAUUGCACAAUGGGGGAAACCCUGAUGCAGCAACGCCGCGUGAGUGAUGACGGUCUUCGGGUUGUAAAGUGCUUUUGCUUGGGAACAAUUUUGAGCGUACCAAGAGAAUAAGAGGUUGCUAACUCUGUGCCAGCAGCCGCGGUAA